CAGCAGCUUCAGGACACUGCCUGGCUGAGGGAAAGAAAGAGACUCCUCAUCUCUCCUUCUGGGUGGUGUGGGGGUGUUUUGUGUAUCUCGAGUGCUGACAGAUAAUACCAUGGAUCACAGAUGAUGUAAUGCUGUAAAAUCUCUACCUUCACCCUGCAUGCAGCAGGCAGUUCUUGGUAGGUAGUCAUCAGCUGCUCUGGAAGGGUUACAUCAGGCUACAUUUUCAUCAGUGUAAUCGUGGGGGCCACAUUACCAUCACUUGCACUGUGCAGGAUCUACAUGGAAUUAUUCCUAAAUAGUUUUCCUGGCUCCAUAUAUUGCUUGAUCAAAGGCA